GUGGGGAAUAUUGGACAAUGGGGGGAACCCUGAUCCAGCCAUGCCGCGUGUGUGAAGAAGGCCUUUUGGUUGUAAAGCACUUUAAGCGAGGAGGAGGCUACCGAGAUUAAUACUCUUGGAUAGUGGACGUUACUCGCAGAAUAAGCACCGGCUAACUCUGUGCCAGCAGCCGCGGUAAUACAGAGGGUGCAAGCGUUAAUCGGAUUUACUGGGCGUAAAGCGCGCGUAGGUGGCCAAUUAAGUCAAAUGUGAAAUCCCCGAGCUUAACUUGGGAAUUGCAUUAGAUACUGGUUGGCUAGAGUAUGGGAGAGGAUGGUAGAAUUCCAGGUGUAGCGGUGAAAUGCGUAGAGAUCUGGAGGAAUACCGAUGGCGAAGGCAGCCAUCUGGCCUAAUACUGACACUGAGGUGCGAAAGCAUGGGGAGCAAACAGGAUUAGAUACCCUUGUAGUCC
rnacentral:rRNA from 1 species